rnacentral:tRNA from 1 species
CAGAGUAUAGCUUAACCAAAGCACUUCGCUUACACCGAAACCAUGUCUGUGAAAAUCAAACUAUUCUGA